rnacentral:rRNA from 1 species
AACGAACGCUGGCGGCAGGCUUAACACAUGCAAGUCGAGCGCCCCGCAAGGGGAGCGGCAGACGGGUGAGUAACACGUGGGGAUCUGCCCGAUGGUACGGAAUCAUUCCGGGAAACUGGGACUAAUACCGUAUGUGCCCGCAAGGGGAAAGAUUUAUCGCCAUCGGAUGAACCCGCGUCAGAGUGGCUAGUUGGUGUGGUAAAGGCGCACCAAGGCGACGAUCUGUAGCUGGUCUGAGAGGAUGAUCAGCCACACUGGGCCUGAGACACGGCCCAGACUCCUAGCGGGGGAGGCAGUGGCGAAUAUUGGACAAGGGGCGCAAGCCUGAUCCAGCCAUGCCGCGUGGGUGAUGAAGGCCUUAGGGUUGGAAAGUCCUUUCGGCGGGGAAGAUAAUGACGGUACCCGCAGAAGGUGCCCCGGCUAACUUCGUGCCAGCAGCCGCGGUAAUAC